rfam:Triticum aestivum genome assembly, contig: Triticum_aestivum_CS42_TGACv1_scaffold_546039_6DS
ACGACCUUACUUGAACAGGAUCUGUUCUAUAGGCUCAUACCGCUGCAUCCUUUACCAAUAUAAGGAGGCAAGCACUUCAGUUUGGUUGUGCAUUCUGACCUCUGGGCCAGAGCGUGAUUAACGGUGAUGGGUGUUAUCCAACGGUUGUAGAGGAUCGUUCCUGCCUGGUUUCACACUGGUGCAGGAUGGCCCAGAGGUUGUCUGACAGACU